rnacentral:rRNA from 1 species
AUGUCAGUAUCGAGCGCAGGUCAGGUGGACGUUGGGGUGUGAGAGCUAAAGGUUCUGAUCUUGGUUCAGGCUUGCUUGUUCCUCGUGAAGUUCCUUCUCACAAACUCCCGUCCGUGACAAGCCUCCUCGCUUGCGUACAUAUCGGAAUCGGAUCAUGGAGUGUGCGCAGUGGUGUCCCUUGGGGCAUUGCUCGCACGUUAAGCUCCUUCGGUUUUAUGGUCACCUUGAGUAAAUCAGAGUGCUCAAAGCAGUCGUAGGGGCCUUGCGCCCUGUGAACAGUCUUGACGGACUGACUUGGUUUUGCAUGGCAUGUCGGAAGACGACGUCGUGUGCUGGCUCAGAGUAAUCAGUGGUAAAAGCCAGCCUCGACGUACUGAUUAAGAGGGACGGUCGAGGGCAUUGGUAUUGCGAGGCGAGAGGUGAAAUUCUAUGACCCCCGCAAGACCUCCUGAAGCGAAAGCGUCUGCCAAGGACGUUUUCAUUAAUCAUGAACCAAAGUUAGAGGAUCGAAGGCGAUCAGAUACCGCCCUAGUUCUAACCCUAAACGAUGCCAACCAUCAAUCCGCGCGUAGCACCCUUCUUAACGGGCUCGGCGGGCAGCUCCCCACUCACGGGAAACCAGAGUCUCUGGGUUCCGGGG